UCGGAUCGCGCUUUUUU
rnacentral:sRNA from 1 species